UACGGAGGGGGCUAGCGUUGUUCGGAAUUACUGGGCGUAAAGCGCACGUAGGCGGCUUUGCAAGUUAGAGGUGAAAGCCCGGGGCUCAACUCCGGAAUUGCCUUUAAAACUGCAUCGCUAGAAUUGUGGAGAGGUAAGUGGAAUUCCGAGUGUAGAGGUGAAAUUCGUAGAUAUUCGCAAGAACACCAGUGGCGAAGGCGGCUCACUGGCCCGGUACUGACGCUGAGGCACGAAAGCGUGGGGAGCGAACAGG
rnacentral:rRNA from 1 species